AACGAACGCUGGCGGCACGUUUUAAGCAUGCAAGUCGAAUGGCAGUGGGGGCAACCCCAUGAGAAUGGCGAACGGGUGAGUAACACGUAGGUGAUCUGCCUGACGGUUGGGGAUAGCCUGUGGAAACACAGGGUAAUACCGAAUGAGCUGACGACACUUUGGUGAUGUUAGUAAAGGUGCUACGGCACCGCCGACAGAGGAGCCUGCGGCUGAUUAGCUAGUUGGUGGGGUAAAGGCCUACCAAGGCGACGAUCAGUAGCCGGCCUGAGAGGGUGUACGGCCACACUGGAACUGAGACACGGUCCAGACUCCUACGGGAGGCAGCAGCUAAGAAUCUUCCGCAAUGGGCGAAAGCCUGACGGAGCGAUGCCGCGUGAUCGAUGAAGGUCGAGAGAUUGUAAAGAUCUUUUCCACAUGAGGAAUAAGUCUGGGAGGGAAUGCCUGGAUGAUGACGUUAGUGUGGGAAUAAGCCCCGGCUAAUUACGUGCCAGCCGCCGCAGUAA
rnacentral:rRNA from 1 species